rnacentral:rRNA from 1 species
UACGUAGGGUGCGAGCAUUGUCCGGAAUUACUGGGCGUAAAGAGCUCGUAGGUGGUUUGUCACGUCGUCUGUGAAAUUCCGGGGCUUAACCUCGGGCGUGCAGGCGAUACGGGCAAUACUUGAGUGCUGUAGGGGAGACUGGAAUUCCUGGUGUAGCGGUGAAAUGCGCAGAUAUCAGGAGGAACACCAAUGGCGAAGGCAGGUCUCUGGGCAGUUACUGACGCUGAGGAGCGAAAGCAUGGGGUAGCGAACAGGGA